rnacentral:rRNA from 1 species
CACAGGAACUUAGCAGACAUGCUGUUGAUGCCUUCGGGAACUGUGAGACAGGUGCUGUAUGGCUGUCGUCAGCUCGUGUUGUGAAAUGUUGGGUUUAGUNCCGGAAGGAUUGCAACCCUUUAUCCUUUUGUUGCCAGCGGUUCNGGCCGGGAACUGCAAAGGAGACUGCCAGUGAUAAACUGGAGGAAGGUGGGGAUGACGUCNAGUCAUCAUGGCCCUUACGACCAGGGCUACACACGUGCUACAAUGGCAUAUACAAGAGAGAAGCGACCUACGCGAGAGCAAGCGGACCUCAUNAAGUAUGUCGUAGUCCGGAUUGGAGUCUGCCAACUCGACUCCAUGAAGUCGCAAUCGCUGUAAUCGUAGAUCAGAAUGCUACGGGUAAUACGUUCCCGGG